AACGUAGGAGACAAACGUUAUCCGGAGUUACUGGGCGUAAAGGGCGUGUAGGCGGUUAGUUAAGUCUGGCGUGAAAGCUCUCGGCUAAACCGGGAGAGGUCGUUGGAUACUGGCUGACUAGAGGACGGUAGAGGCGUGUGGAAUUCCGGGUGUAGUGGUGAAAUGCGUAGAUAUUCGCAAGAACACCAGUGGCGAAGGCGGCUCACUGGCCCGGUACUGACGCUGAGGUGCGAAAGCGUGGGGAGCAAACAGG
rnacentral:rRNA from 1 species